UACGUAGGGUGCGAGCGUUGUCCGGAAUUACUGGGCGUAAAGAGCUCGUAGGUGGUUUGUCGCGUUGUCCGUGAAAACUCACAACUCAAUUGUGGGCGUGCGGGCGAUACGGGGCAGACUGGAGUACUGCAGGGGAGACUGGAAUUCCUGGUGUAGCGGUGGAAUGCGCAGAUAUCAGGAGGAACACCGGUGGCGAAGGCGGGUCUCUGGGCCGAUAUUGACGCUGAGGAGCGAAAGCGUGGGGAGCGAACAGG
rnacentral:rRNA from 1 species